GACGAACCGUCCGAACGUUAUUCGGAAUUACUGGGCUUAAAGGGUGCGUAGGCGGCGCGGAAAGUAGGGUGUGAAAUCCCUCGGCUCAACCGAGGAACUGCGUCCUAAACUACCGUGCUCGAGGGAGAUAGAGGUGAGCGGAACUUAGGGUGGAGCGGUGAAAUGCGUUGAUAUCCUAAGGAACACCGGUGGCGAAAGCGGCUCACUGGAUCUCUUCUGACGCUGAGGCACGAAAGCUAGGGCAGCGAACGGG
rnacentral:rRNA from 1 species